UACGGAGGGUGCAAGCGUUAUUCGGAAUUACUGGGCGUAAAGCGCGUGCAGGCGGCCUUACAAGUCUGAUGUGAAAGCCCUGGGCUUAACCUGGGAAGUGCAUUGGAAACUGUAUGGCUUGAGUACUGGAGAGGAAGGGAGAAUUCCCGGUGUAGAGGUGAAAUUCGUAGAGAUCGGGAGGAACACCAGUGGCGAAGGCGCCCUUCUGGACGGUUACUGACGCUGAGACGCGAAAGCGUGGGGAGCAAAC
rnacentral:rRNA from 1 species